GGCCGCCCGGCCCGGCCCACACCGCCGGCGAAGGUCAGGAGCGCGGAAGCGGCGCAGCGCGCAUGCGCUGGGAGAGACGAGGAGGCGGGAACAGCCAGCCUGUGGGAAUGGUGCGUUGAACGGGAGGGGGGCGAGAUUGCUGAAGGCAGCUGUCUCUCUAAGAAGCUCUCACUUAAAUGAAGACAAAAGCAUUUCAUUUUAAACAUCAGAUGUUACUGUGCUGUGUUGAAGGCAAGCAUUGGAUGGGAGAAGGUUUCCCUGCAAGAGUAUCAGUACUAUUUCAUGGAAGGCAGAAGUUCCAGUUUUUUUUCCUAGAGAGAUUUUGAAGGCCUCCUUUAUAAACUUUCAAGUUUCUGUUAA